rnacentral:rRNA from 1 species
UACGUAGGGGGCAAGCGUUGUCCGGAUUCAUUGGGCGUAAAGAGCGUGUAGGCGGCCAGGUAGGUCGGUUGUGAAAACUGGAGGCUCAACCUUCAGACGUCGACCGAAACCAUCUGGCUAGAGUCCGGGAGAGGAGAGUGGAAUUCCUGGUGUAGCGGUGAAAUGCGCAGAUAUCAGGAGGAACACCGAUGGCGAAGGCAGGUCUCUGGGCCGAUACUGACACUGAGGAGCGAAAGCGUGGGGAGCGAACAGG